AUUGAACGCUGGCGGCAGGCUUAACACAUGCAAGUCGAGCGGACAUGAGGUGCUUGCACCUUAUCUUAGCGGCGGACGGGUGAGUAAUGCUUAGGAAUCUGCCUAUUAGUGGGGGACAACAUUCCGAAAGGAAUGCUAAUACCGCAUACGCCCUACGGGGGAAAGCAGGGGAUCUUCGGACCUUGCGCUAAUAGAUGAGCCUCAGUCGGAUUAGCUAGUUGGUGGGGUAAAGGCCUACCAAGGCGACGAUCUGUAGCGGGUCUGAGAGGAUGAUCCGCCACACUGGGACUGAGACACGGCCCAGACUCCUACGGGAGGCAGCAGUGGGGAAUAUUGGACAAUGGGCGGAAGCCUGAUCCAGCCAUGCCGCGUGUGUGAAGAAGGCCUUUUGGUUGUAAAGCACUUUAAGCGAGGAGGAGGCUACCUGGAUUAAUACUCUAGGAUAGUGGACGUUACUCGCAGAAUAAGCACCGGCUAACUCUGUGCCAGCAGCCGCCGUAAAAC
rnacentral:rRNA from 1 species